UAUUCGGAGAGUUUGAUCCUGGCUCAGAACGAGCGCUGGAGGCGUGCUUAACACAUGCAAGUCGUACGAGAAAGUUUCUUCGGAAAUGAGUAAAGUGGCGAACGGGUGCGUUACACGUAGGUAAUCCACCCCUUAGAUUGGGACAACCGUCCGAAAGGAUGGCUAAUACCAAAUAAGACCACAGUGACUUCGGUCACAGUGAUUAAAGAUGGCCUAUGCUUGCAAGCUAUCACUAAGGGACGAGCCUGCGCGCUAUUAGCUUGUUGGUGAGGUAACGGCUCACCAAGGCAAAGAUGGCUAGCUGGUCUGAGAGGACGACCAGCCACACUGGAACUGAAACACGGUCCAGACUCCUACGGG
rnacentral:ncRNA from 1 species